UACAGAGGAGCCAAGCGUUGUCCGGAUUUACUGGGCGUAAAGCGCACGCAGGCGGACGCGCGCGUGGGGUGUGAAAUCUGGCCGCUUAACGGUCAGGCGCCAUCCCAUACGGCGCGACUGGAGUGAUGCAGAGGUCGAUGGAAUUGCCGGUGUAGUGGUGAAAUGCGUAGAUAUCGGGAGGAACACCAGUGGCGAAGGCGGCUUCCUGGCCUGUUCUUGACGCUGAGGCGCGAAAGCUAGGGGAGCAAACGGG
rnacentral:rRNA from 1 species